GGGUUGUGAGGUUAAGCGACUAAGCGUACACGGUGGAUGCCCUGGCAGUCAGAGGCGAUGAAGGACGUGCUAAUCUGCGAAAAGCGUCGGUAAGGUGAUAUGAACCGUUAUAGCCGGCGAUGUCCGAAUGGGGAAACCCAGUGCAAUUCGUUGCACUAUCGUUAACUGAAUACAUAGGUUAACGAGGCGAACCGGGGGAACUGAAACAUCUAAGUACCCCGAGGAAAAGAAAUCAACCGAGAUUCCCCCAGUAGCGGCGAGCGAACGGGGAGCAGCCCGGAGUCUGAAUCAGCUUGUGUGUUAGUGGAAGCGUCUGGAAAGUCGCAGGGUACAGGGUGAUACUCCCGUACACUAAAACACACAGGUUGUGAACUCGAAGAGUAGGGCGGGACACGUGGUAUCCUGUCUGAAUAUGGGGGGACCAUCCUCCAAGGCUAAAUACUCCUGACUGACCGAUAGUGAACCAGUACCGUGAGGGAAAGGCGAAAAGAACCCCGGCGAGGGGAGUGAAAAAGAACCUGAAACCGUGUACGUACAAGCAGUAGGAGCCCACUAGUUGGGUGACUGCGUACCUUUUGUAUAAUGGGUCAGCGACUUAUAUUCUGUAGCAAGGUUAACCGUAUAGGGGAGCCGCAGGGAAACCGAGUCUUAACUGGGCGUUAAGUUGCAGGGUAUAGACCCGAAACCCGGUGAUCUAGCCAUGGGCAGGUUGAAGGUUGGGUAACACUAACUGGAGGACCGAACCGACUAAUGUUGAAAAAUUAGCGGAUGACUUGUGGCUGGGGGUGAAAGGCCAAUCAAACCGGGAGAUAGCUGGUUCUCCCCGAAAGCUAUUUAGGUAGCGCCUCGUGAACUCAUCUUCGGGGGUAGAGCACUGUUUCGGCUAGGGGGUCAUCCCGACUUACCAACCCGAUGCAAACUACGAAUACCGAAGAAUGUUAUCACGGGAGACACACGGCGGGUGCUAACGUCCGUCGUGAAGAGGGAAACAACCCAGACCGCCAGCUAAGGUCCCAAAGUCAUGGUUAAGUGGGAAACGAUGUGGGAAGGCCCAGACAGCCAGGAUGUUGGCUUAGAAGCAGCCAUCAUUUAAAGAAAGCGUAAUAGCUCACUGGUCGAGUCGGCCUGCGCGGAAGAUGUAACGGGGCUAAACCAUGCACCGAAGCUGCGGCAGCGACACUAUGUGUUGUUGGGUAGGGGAGCGUUCUGUAAGCCGUUGAAGGUGGCCUGUGAGGGUUGCUGGAGGUAUCAGAAGUGCGAAUGCUGACAUAAGUAACGAUAAUGCGGGUGAAAAACCCGCACGCCGGAAGACCAAGGGUUCCUGUCCAACGUUAAUCGGGGCAGGGUGAGUCGACCCCUAAGGCGAGGCCGAAAGGCGUAGUCGAUGGGAAACAGGUUAAUAUUCCUGUACUCGGUGUUACUGCGAAGGGGGGACGGAGAAGGCUAUGUUGGCCGGGCGACGGUUGUCCCGGUUUAAGCAUGUAGGCGGAUGUUCCAGGUAAAUCCGGAACGUUACUAACGCUGAGGUGUGAUGACGAGGCACUACGGUGCUGAAGUGACAAAUGCCCUGCUUCCAGGAAAAGCCUCUAAGCAUCAGGUAACAUCAAAUCGUACCCCAAACCGACACAGGUGGUCAGGUAGAGAAUACCAAGGCGCUUGAGAGAACUCGGGUGAAGGAACUAGGCAAAAUGGUGCCGUAACUUCGGGAGAAGGCACGCUGAUGGUAGGUGAAGUGACUUGCUCAUGGAGCUGAAAUCAGUCGAAGAUACCAGCUGGCUGCAACUGUUUAUUAAAAACACAGCACUGUGCAAACACGAAAGUGGACGUAUACGGUGUGACGCCUGCCCGGUGCCGGAAGGUUAAUUGAUGGGGUUAUCCGUAAGGAGAAGCUCUUGAUCGAAGCCCCGGUAAACGGCGGCCGUAACUAUAACGGUCCUAAGGUAGCGAAAUUCCUUGUCGGGUAAGUUCCGACCUGCACGAAUGGCGUAAUGAUGGCCAGGCUGUCUCCACCCGAGACUCAGUGAAAUUGAACUCGCUGUGAAGAUGCAGUGUACCCGCGGCAAGACGGAAAGACCCCGUGAACCUUUACUAUAGCUUGACACUGAACACUGGUCCUUGAUGUGUAGGAUAGGUGGGAGGCUUUGAAGUGUGGACGCCAGUCUGCAUGGAGCCAUCCUUGAAAUACCACCCUUUAAUGGCUGGUGUUCUAACGUGGGCCCGUAAUCCGGGUUGCGGACAGUGUCUGGUGGGUAGUUUGACUGGGGCGGUCUCCUCCUAAAGAGUAACGGAGGAGCACGAAGGUCAGCUAAUCCUGGUCGGACAUCAGGAGGUUAGUGCAAUGGCAUAAGCUGGCUUGACUGCGAGCGUGACGGCGCGAGCAGGUGCGAAAGCAGGUCAUAGUGAUCCGGUGGUUCUGAAUGGAAGGGCCAUCGCUCAACGGAUAAAAGGUACUCCGGGGAUAACAGGCUGAUACCGCCCAAGAGUUCAUAUCGACGGCGGUGUUUGGCACCUCGAUGUCGGCUCAUCACAUCCUGGGGCUGAAGUAGGUCCCAAGGGUAUGGCUGUUCGCCAUUUAAAGUGGUACGCGAGCUGGGUUUAGAACGUCGUGAGACAGUUCGGUCCCUAUCUGCCGUGGGCGCUGGAGAAUUGAGGGGGGCUGCUCCUAGUACGAGAGGACCGGAGUGGACGCAUCACUGGUGUUCGGGUUGUCAUGCCAAUGGCAUUGCCCGGUAGCUAAAUGCGGAAGAGAUAAGUGCUGAAAGCAUCUAAGCACGAAACUUGCCCCGAGAUGAGUUCUCCCUGACUCCUUGAGAGUCCUGAAGGAACGUUGAAGACGACGACGUUGAUAGGCCGGGUGUGUAAGCGCAGCGAUGCGUUGAGCUAACCGGUACUAAUGAACCGUGAGGCUUAACCUUACAACGCCGAAG
rnacentral:rRNA from 1 species